GACGAACCGUACGAACGUUAUUCGGAAUCACUGGGCUUAAAGGGUGCGUAGGCGGCGCAGUAAGUUGGGUGUGAAAUCCCUCGGCUUAACCGAGGAAUUGCGCCCAAAACUACUGUGCUCGAGGGAGGUAGAGGUGAGCGGAACUUAGGGUGGAGCGGUGAAAUGCGUAGAUAUCAAGUGGAACACCAGUGGCGAAGGCGAAUCUCUGGACAAUUCCUGACACUGAUGCUCGAAAGCUAGGGGAGCAAACGGG
rnacentral:rRNA from 1 species